GCGGCUUAAGUGCAGACAACUCAGGUGCUGCUGAGACUGGCACAGAGGCAACAACAGCAGAGGUGAAGGAAUACUUCCAUGGGAUGCUUCCACAGGUGAUCCUUUGGGACUUCCCAGAAAAGGCAGCGUCCCCGCUGGCAAACGGGCUGCUUGGACUCUGGCCAGGAAUGGGGCUUCGGCUAUUUGUUGCGAUCUUAUCUCAUCCUCGCUGGUUACCUUCACUUUCUUUUUUGCUUUUAGUGGUGUGAAGAUCAGGAGGGAGAGAGGGUAUAAAAGAGGCAAACAAUGAGAGAAGGUAAGAGAAAAGCGCGAGAAACCUCGAAGCAGAACCUCCAAGGAGACGACUGAGCUUGGCUGCAAAAAAUCGGUUCAGCAGCAGGUAA